UACGUAAGGGGCAAGCGUUAUCCGGAUUUACUGGGGUGUAAAGGGAGCGUAGACGGUGAGGCAAGUCUGAUGUGAAAACCCGGGGCUCAACUCCGGGAUUGCAUUGGAAACUGUCUGACUUGAGUACUGGAGGGGUAAGCGGAAUUCCUGGUGUAGCGGUGAAAUGCGUAGAUAUCAGGAGGAACACCGGUGGCGAAGGCGGCUUACUGGACAGUAACUGACGUUGAGGCUCGAAAGCGUGGGGAGCAAACAGGAUUAGAUACCCCUGUAGUCCCUGAGCGGG
rnacentral:rRNA from 1 species